CCUACGGGUGGCAGCAGUGGGGAAUAUUGCACAAUGGGGGAAACCCUGAUGCAGCGACGCCGCGUGAGGGAAGAAGGAAUUCGGGACGGAAAGCUCUAGCAGCAGGGAAGAAAGACUGACCAGACGGGCAGCAGACGGUAGAGGAGAAAGAAGCCCCGGCGAACUACGUGCCAGCAGCCGCGGUAAUACGUAGGGGGCAAGCGUUAUGCGGAUUUACUGGGGGUAAAGGGAGCGUAGACGGUGCGCCCAGUCUGGAGUGAAAAGCCGCAGCUUAACGGCGGAACUGCUUUGGAAACUGGCGACCUAGAGUGCGGGAGGGGUAAGCUGAAUU
rnacentral:rRNA from 1 species